AUCCUUUUGUAGCUCAUAAGUAUGAUGACUGGGUGCCCUCAAGCUGAUGUGAGAUGUACCCCUGCCAGACCUUGUUACCCAGCUGAAG
ensembl:snoRNA